AGGAUAAACGCUGGCGGCGUGCCUAUUGCAUGCAAGUCGAACGGGAAUCUCUUCGGAGAUCGACCGUGGCGGACGGGUGAGGAGCACGUAGCUGACCUGCCCUGGUGUGGGGGAUAUCCUCCGGAAACGGAGUGUAAUACCGCAUAAUCUCAAUUGGGGGGACCGGAUUGAGGAAAGCCGCAAGGCGUACCAGGAGGGGGCUGCGUCCGAUUAGCUAGUUGGUGGGGUAACGGCUUACCAAGGCGAUGAUCGGUAGCUGGUCUGAGAGGACGAUCAGCCACACGGGGACUGAGACACGGCCCCGAUCCUACGGGAGGCAGCAGCAAGGAAUUCUCCACAAUAGGCGCAAGCCUGAUGGAGCAACGCCGCGUGGGGGACGACGCACUUCGGUGUGUAAACCCCUUUCGAGGGACGAAGGCAAUGACGGUACCCUCGGAAUAAGGAUCGGCUAACUACGUGCCAGCAGCCGC
rnacentral:rRNA from 1 species